rnacentral:rRNA from 1 species
UACGGAGGGGGGCAAGCGUUGUUCGGAAUUACUGGGCGUAAAGGGCGCGUAGGCGGCCUGCUAAGUCGAACGUGAAAUCCCCGGGCUCAACCCGGGAACUGCGUCCGAUACUGGCAGGCUUGAAUUCGGGAGAGGGAUGCGGAAUUCCAGGUGUAGCGGUGAAAUGCGUAGAUAUCUGGAGGAACACCGGUGGCGAAGGCGGCAUCCUGGACCGACACUGACACUGAGGAGCGAAAGCCAGGGGAGCAAACGGG